rnacentral:rRNA from 1 species
GAUCCUGGCUCAGGAUGAACGCUGGCGGCGUGCUUAACACAUGCAAGUCGAACGAAGCACUUAUCUUUGAUUCUUCGGAUGAAGAGGUUUGUGACUGAGUGGCGGACGGGUGAGUAACGCGUGGGUAACCUGCCUCAUACAGGGGGAUAACAGUUAGAAAUGACUGCUAAUACCGCAUAAGACCACAGAGCUGCAUGGCUCGGUGGGAAAAACUCCGGUGGUAUGAGAUGGACCCG